CCCUUAGAUGUUCUGGGCCGCACGCGCGCUACACUGUUCGACGCAGCGAGUCUUAACCUUGACCGAAAGGUUUGGGUAAUCUUCAGCAAAGUCGGACGUGAUGGAGAUCGAUCAUUGCAAUUAUUGAUCGUGAACGAGGAAUUCCUAGUAAGUGCAAGUCAUCAGCUUGCGCUGAUUACGUCCCUGCCCUUUGUACACACCGCCCGUCGCUACCACCGAUUGAAUGGUUUAGUGAGAUCUCUGGAUUGACGCUGGCUAGGGGGCGACCCUUGGCCAGACUGUUGAGAAACUGCUCAAACUUGAUCAUUUAGAGGAAGUAAAAGUCGUAACA
rnacentral:rRNA from 1 species